GAUGAACGCUGGCGGCGUGCUUAACACAUGCAAGUCGAGCGAGAAAGUUCUUCGGAACAAUCUAGCGGCGGACGGGUGAGUAACACGUGGGCAACCUGCCUCAUAGAGGGGAAUAGCCUUCCGAAAGGAAGAUUAAUACCGCAUAACAUCGUUGAAGGGCAUCCUUCGAUGAUCAAAGGAGCAAUCCGCUAUGAGAUGGGCCCGCGGCGCAUUAGCUAGUUGGUGAGGUAACGGCUCACCAAGGCGACGAUGCGUAGCCGACCUGAGAGGGUGAUCGGCCACAUUGGGACUGAGACACGGCCCAGACUCCUACGGGAGGCAGCAGUGGGGAAUAUUGCACAAUGGGGGAAACCCUGAUGCAGCAACGCCGCGUGAGUGAUGACGGCCUUCGGGUUGUAAAGCUCUGUCGUUGGGGACGAUAAUGACGGUACCCAAGGAGGAAGUCACGGCUAACUACGUGCCAGCCGCCGCUGUAA
rnacentral:rRNA from 1 species